rnacentral:rRNA from 1 species
ACUAUGCGCUGUCCGUCAAGAUGGGGGAAAAACUUUAUUUUUUUUCCCUUAAAAGAGGAAAAGGCGGGGAAAUUCUAGAGCUUUACAUGCUAAAAACCCCGACUUACGAAGGGGGGUGUUUAUUAGAUUCAAAACCAAUGCCCUCCGGGGCUUAAAUGGUGACUCAUAAUAACUUCUCCGGAUCGCACGGCCUUGCGCGGGCGAGGGGUUCAUUCAAAUUUCUGCCCCUAUCAACUUUCGAUGGCUGGGUCUUGGCCCAGCCAUGGGUGAUAACGGGGUAACGGAGGGAUUUAGGGCCUCGACCCCCGGAGAAAGGAGCCUUGAGAGACGGCUACUACAUCCAAGGAAGGCAGCAGGCGCGCAAAUUAACCCAAUCCCGAUUCGGGGAGGUAGUGACAAUACAUACCUGAUACAGGGCUCUUUUGGGCUCUUGUAAUUGGAAUGAGUACAAUUUAAAUCCCUUAACGAGGAACAAUUGCAGGGCAAGUCUGGUGCCAGCAGCCGCGGUAAUUCCAGCUGCAAUAGCGUAUAUUAAAGUUGUUGAGGUUAAAAAGCUCGUAGUUGAACCCUUGGGCCUGGCUGGCUGGUCCGCCUCACCGCGUGCACUGGUUCGGCUGGGCCUUUCCCACUGGGGAGUCGCAUGCCCUUUACUGGGUGUGUCGAGGAACCAGGACUUUUACUCUGAACAAAUCAGAUCGCUUAAAGAAGGCCUUUGCUUGAAUGUUCUAGCAUGGAAUAAUAGAAUAGGACGUGUGGUUCUAUUUUGUUGGUUUCUAGGACCGCCGUAAUGAUUAAUAGGGACAGUCGGGGGCAUCAGUAUUCAAUUGUCAGAGGUGAAAUUCUUGGAUUUAUUGAAGACUAACUUCUGCGAAAGCAUUUGCCAAGGAUGUUAUCAAUAAUCAGUUUUUUUUUAAUUUUGCUUCCCCCCCAAAAAAAAAAAAGGUAGAGUUUUUUUUAAAAUAUUCCUCCCCCCCAAAAAAAAAAAAGGGGAAGUUUUGUUCUAAUACUUUUUCUCGCCAAAAAGA